rnacentral:rRNA from 1 species
UUUAUGGAGAGUUUGAUCCUGGCUCAGGAUGAACGCUGGCGGCGUGCCUAAUACAUGCAAGUCGAGCGAACGGACGAGAAGCUUGCUUCUCUGAUGUUAGCGGCGGACGGGUGAGUAACACGUGGAUAACCUACCUAUAAGACUGGGAUAACUUCGGGAAACCGGAGCUAAUACCGGAUAAUAUUUUGAACCGCAUGGUUCAAAAGUGAAAGACGGUCUUGCUGUCACUUAUAGAUGGAUCCGCGCUGCAUUAGCUAGUUGGUAAGGUAACGGCUUACCAAGGCAACGAUGCAUAGCCGACCUGAGAGGGUGAUCGGCCACACUGGAACUGAGACACGGUCCAGACUCCUACGGGAGGCAGCAGUAGGGAAUCUUCCGCAAUGGGCGAAAGCCUGACGGAGCAACGCCGCGUGAGUGAUGAAGGUCUUCGGAUCGUAAAACUCUGUUAUUAGGGAAGAACAUAUGUGUAAGUAACUGUGCACAUCUUGACGGUACCUAAUCAGAAAGCCACGGCUAACUACGUGCCAGCAGCCGCGGUAAUACGUAGGUGGCAAGCGUUAUCCGGAAUUAUUGGGCGUAAAGCGCGCGUAGGCGGUUUUUUAAGUCUGAUGUGAAAGCCCACGGCUCAACCGUGGAGGGUCAUUGGAAACUGGAAAACUUGAGUGCAGAAGAGGAAAGUGGAAUUCCAUGUGUAGCGGUGAAAUGCGCAGAGAUAUGGAGGAACACCAGUGGCGAAGGCGACUUUCUGGUCUGUAACUGACGCUGAUGUGCGAAAGCGUGGGGAUCAAACAGGAUUAGAUACCCUGGUAGUCCACGCCGUAAACGAUGAGUGCUAAGUGUUAGGGGGUUUCCGCCCUUAGUGCUGCAGCUAACGCAUUAAGCACUCCGCCUGGGGAGUACGACCGCAAGGUUGAAACUCAAAGGAAUUGACGGGGACCCGCACAAGCGGUGGAGCAUGUGGUUUAAUUCGAAGCAACGCGAAGAACCUUACCAAAUCUUGACAUCCUUUGACAACUCUAGAGAUAGAGCUUUCCCCUUCGGGGACAAAGUGACAGGUGGUGCAUGGUUGUCGUCAGCUCGUGUCGUGAGAUGUUGGGUUAAGUCCCGCAACGAGCGCAACCCUUAAGCUUAGUUGCCAUCAUUAAGUUGGGCACUCUAAGUUGACUGCCGGUGACAAACCGGAGGAAGGUGGGGAUGACGUCAAAUCAUCAUGCCCCUUAUGAUUUGGGCUACACACGUGCUACAAUGGACAAUACAAAGGGCAGCGAAACCGUGAGGUCAAGCAAAUCCCAUAAAGUUGUUCUCAGUUCGGAUUGUAGUCUGCAACUCGACUACAUGAAGCUGGAAUCGCUAGUAAUCGUAGAUCAGCAUGCUACGGUGAAUACGUUCCCGGGUCUUGUACACACCGCCCGUCACACCACGAGAGUUUGUAACACCCGAAGCCGGUGGAGUAACCUUUUAGGAGCUAGCCGUCGAAGGUGGGACAAAUGAUUGGGGUGAAGUCGUAACAAGGUAGCCGUAUCGGAAGGUGCGGCUGGAUCACCUCCUUUCU